GUGUGUUUUAGUUCCUACGUGUGUGCAGAAGCCCUCGGUCAGGGUGGAGCUGCAGGAGGAGGGUGGGCGGAGGAUAAAAGGCGGGUGCAUUGCAGUGACAGUCUUCAUCCACUGCAGACCCGUCAGGAGGAUGAGUAGGACUAUGUGGUGGCUGGUGGCCUCUGUGGCCUUCACCCUCCUCACUUCCCUGGCUAAUGGAGCUCCGUUACCCCUGAAAGCAUCGUUUUACCACUUGAUCCAGUCGUUUUAAAAUCUGGGAUCCACUCUGGAGAUUACCAACUGCCUGAAAUUGCUAGAUGGCGUGAAACAAACACAGGAGUGAACCGGGAGGAGAGGAACACUGACGAUGAGCCUGGGGGCCCCAUGUGUGCAAAGAACAAUAAUAAAGUCUGCUCUACAGCAGCUCUGUCUUAGUAGAAACCACCAGACAGCAAGAUGUCCUGGAAGAAAACUAUUUUAAGUACAGUUUGUCUCAUUUAUCUUUUUAGCUGUAACUACACCAAGAUUGUCACAGUACAGGCCCGUCCUUAUGUCAUUGGACCCAGCUAUUUCUAAAAGUCCCACACCUUCUCUUUGCUUCAAAUAAAAUACUUGAUGAAAGAGAGUAACUUUAUCCAUUGUUCACCUGUGCGUGCUCAUUGGACAUAUUAUUAAUUAAUUGAGGAUUCCUGUGCUGCUACCUGGGAGCACCCCGUCGUCUUAAGCUUCAAUCUGCACUUCACGCUUCCACUCAAAUCAUCAACUAUCACCCAACUCAAUACUACUUAGCAGGACGCCUCAUCCCCCGCACCUCUGGGCUCAGUUUCAUCCCAGGUCCGUGCACUGUUGGCUGGGAAGCAAAAGCCUGGUGCUUCCCUGAGGAUGUCCAGGUCCAAUCUGCAGCUUGCCAUUGAUGAAUUCAGUUUGGCAAACGGGCCUCUGAGGUUGUGUGUGUGUGGGAACUGCAGGCUGCACCGGAAGCAACGCGCGGGACGGUGUCGAAACGCAGAUUUUUUUGGAAACAAAGUGUCAAAACAUGACUGGAAAUGGAUCAC